ACGCUAGCUACAGGCUUAACACAUGCAAGUCGUGGGGCAGCGGAUGCUUAGCUUGCUAAGUAUGCCGGCGACCGGCGCACGGGUGAGUAACGCGUACCGAACCUGCCCAUCACUCAGGGAUAGGCUUGCGAAAGCAAGAUUAAUACCUGAUGGUCUCAGUUGUAUGCAUGUAUGAUUGAGUAAAGCCUUCGGGCGGUGAUGGAUGGCGGUGCGUCCCAUUAGGAAGUUGGCGGGGUAACGGCCCACCAAUCCUUCGAUGGGUAGGGGUUCUGAGAGGAAGGUCCCCCACAUUGGAACUGAGAUACGGUCCAAACUCCUACGGGAGGCAGCAGUGAGGAAUAUUGGUCAAUGGGCGGGAGCCUGAACCAGCCAAGUAGCGUGCGGGAUGAAGGCCCUUGUGGUCGUAAACCGCUUUUAUCAGUGAAUAAAGUGCACCACGUGUGGUGUCAUUGCAGGUAGCUGAAGAAAAAGGACCGGCUAAUUCCGUGCCAGCAGCCGCGGUAAUACGGAAGGUCCGGGCGUUAUCCGGAAUUAUUGGGUUUAAAGGGAGCGCAGGCGGGAGUGUAAGUCAGCUGUUAAAUAUCAGGGCCCAACUCUGUUAUGCAGUUGAAACUAUAUUUCUUGAGUACGCACAGGGAUGGCGGAAUUCAGGGUGUAGCGGUGAAAUGCUUAGAUAUCCUGAAGAACUCCGAUCGCGAAGGCAGCCAUCCGGAGCGUAACUGACGCUGAGGCUCGAAGGUGCGGGUAUCGAACAGGAUUAGAUACCCUGGUAGUCCGCACGGUAAACGAUGAAUACUCGCAGUUCGGUCAUUAUGAUUGAGUUGUCCAGCGAAAGCGUUAAGUAUUCCACCUGGGGAGUACGCCGGCAACGGUGAAACUCAAAGGAAUAGACGGGGGCCCGC
rnacentral:rRNA from 1 species